CACAAUUAGUCACAUUUAGUUUUGGAGAAAAGCUUUUCCUAAUUUAUCAGCAGAGAAUAUUUGCGGUGUAUCAGAUCUCCAAGAGAUGGAAAGACAUUGCUCACCUCUUCUCAGAUCCUGACUGUCCAGUGGCUUUUCCGAUGGUUUCUGUCUUUCCCCUCGUUCUGUCACAGCAGACCCUUCUAAAGAGUCCGUCCCCUUCUUUUCCACAGGUGCCCUUCACAUAUUGACAGGCUGCUCUCAGCUCACCUCACAGCCUUCCUUUCUCCAGGGUGAAGAGCCCCAGCUCCCUCAGCCUGUCCUGAUAGGAGAGAUGUUCCAUCCCUUGGUUUGUAUUUGUGGUCCUCCUCUGGAUGUGCUCCAACAUCUCCGUGUCUCUCCUGCACUGAGGACUCCAUAUCUGGACACCGUACUCCAUGUGAGGCCCCACCUGCACGGAGCAGGGGGUGGAUCACCUUCCCAGCACUGCCGGCAGUGCUUUCUUUUGAUGCAACACAAGUUUCUGGGCUGUGAGGGUUCAUUGCUGGUCUCAUGUCCAGCUUGCCAUCCGCCAGUAUCCCCAAGUCUUUUUGGGCAGGACUAAGCUCAGUCUUUUUAUCCCCCAGCUUUAAUUGGUAAUGGGGGUUGCCUCGACCCAGGUGCAAGACCUUGCACUUGGAUUUGCUGAACCUCAUGAGGUUCACCUGGGCCCACUGCUCAGCCUGUCCAGGUCCCCCUGGAUGGCAUCCCGUCCCUCUGGUGUGUCAGCCACACUCUGCAGCUUGGCAUCAUCAUCAGACUUGCCGAGGGUGCACUCAACCCCACUGCUGAUGUCACUGAUGAAGAUAUUAAAGAGUAUUGGCCCCAGCACCGACCCCCAAGAGACACCACUUGUCAUUGAUCUCCCUCCAAAUGUGGAGCCAUUUGUGCCCACUCUCUGGACUUGAUUCUACAGCCAGUUUUUCAUCCAUUGAGGAGUCAGCUCAUCAAAUCUGUAUCUUUUCAAUUUGGAGAGAAGGAUGUUGUGGGGUACUGUGUCAAAGGCCUUACUGAAGUCCAGAUAGAUGACAUCAGUGGUUCUUCCCUUGUCCACUGAUGCAGAGAUGCCAUCAUGAAAGGUUUGUCAAGCAGAAUUUGCCCUCCCGUAUCACAUCUGUACUUUCCAUGUGCCAUAGCAUAGCUUCCAUGAGGAUCUGUGCCAAGAUCCUUCUCAGCAGAGAGGCGAGACAAACAGGCUGGUAGUUUCCUGGGUCAUCCUUUACAUGUAUUAAAAAUGUCUGUGAGGUCUUGUUUCUGCUCACCAGGGACUUCACCCGAUUGCCACAACUCUUCAAACGUCAUUGAUAGUGGCUUGGUGAGUACGUCAGCUAAAUCCCUAUGAGGACCCACAGACUUCUGGAUGUUUGGGUUCCUCAGGAGGUUCUGCAGCUGAUCCCUGCUCACGGUGUGUGCUUGGAGAGGGCGGGGGGCACAUCCCCAACCCCUUCCUGACAAACCAGACAUUGCAGGACUAUGUGACGAGCAGUUAGCAGAGAAGAAAGAGAUGAAGAAGUUGCCGAGUCCCUCAGACUUUGUGUCUGUUGUGAGCAGCUCCAGGAUUCAUGGGUGGAAAAUGUACUGCUGCUGAGAGACCAACAGAAUGAAUCAAGGCCAGCAGCAGUCAGUCAGCGCAAAGAGCUCCUGGCCUCGGGUCUCACUUGCUCCGACUCACUGGAAAAUAUCCCCCCCAGACUUGCAGGUUUUCCUCCUUGCAGGAGUUCUAGUAACAAGGACUUGCAACAGACUGCCAGCCUGGGCUUCACCAGAGCUGGAGCUGACAGGGAGCCCUCUGGGUUUUCAAAAAGAAACAAGAAGGCUGAGAAUCAGGUGCUUUGUUUGACGUUUUUACUGGCUGUCCCACUUGGUUCUGUUGGUCUGUGGGCACGUUGGGUUGGUCUGUGUGGAGCUGAGCAGCUCGGUGCUUAUGGCUUUGAUCCCGUGGACGUUUACAAGGCUUGGGUGAACCGGGUGGAAUCUCAGAGCGGUGAGGCCAGGUACAGAAGCCGUUCAUUGCUCGGCUGUUUUGCGUUGCUCUGUUAAUUCUUCCAUGCCAUCUUUGGCUUCACUGCUCACAUCCGUCCAAGUGAUGGCAGCUUUUUCAUGCAAACAUGUAAUUUGAUUAUUUAUUAACAGAUAUUCAUAAGCGCUUAGCACAGCUUUGCUGGGAAUGGAAAAGGUUUCCUUGGUUUUCUGUGUCUUUUUUUAAUUCACGUAUUUUUUCUCCUCUCCCCCCUCCCAACUGCUUCUUUCCUCCGCCCUCACGACAAAUAGAGCGGAGCUCCAGCUCCGCGCUGCGGGCGCCCGUCGAUCCGCUCGGAAAAGUAUUUUCCGCCGUCUGUGCUGCCACCUCGUGGCCGCUCGGUGGAAUUGCGGCCGUGUGUUUGUGCUGCCGCAGGUUGCGCGGGCACGCAGAAACGGUGCGCGGACGUUUUAUUUGCACUACAAAUCCGCCGAUCUUUCUUGUGCUUAGUCCUCCAGACAACAGUGCACGUGAGCCAGGACCCCUAUAGACAGCAUCCAUUUCUACGGUGCCGCGAGGUGCGGGCGAACAGACAUUUGGACCGCCGGCUCAGCGCUCCUUUUCUCUCUUCCAACCCACGGUGCCACAGCCCGCAAUUCUUUAUUUCCUCGGGCUGUUUUGCGCCCCGUGCACGGGCAGCUUUGGCUCCUUGCGAACCCUGCGCCCGUCGCACGCGAAAUGAGGAGUCGAAAAUACAGCUGUAGGUGCGCACCCGAAAACCUGUGUGCGGCACGAUGCCGCACGGCGCCGCGGGGGGGUGCGGGGCCGAGACCCAGACACGCGUGGUGCGGCGCUCACUAUGGCGCCCCUGGGGAUGCUGCGGUGCCGGUGCCGCUUCACGCCAGAACCGCGACCUUGAAGCUCCGAGCUGCUCCAAUUCCUCCGCCGCUGAAGGAGCCUUUGGGCGGCUGCGGGGCCGGGCUGGGAGGCGACGUUUGCUGAUCCACGGCGGCAGUGACCAAACUGGACGGCACGAGGCGCUCAGGGGCCGCCGUGAGCCGAACCGGACCGUUCCCGUGGUGGGCUCGGGCAUAAAAAGGCGGACAGAGCCAGCUGUCAGUUGUCGGGCGCAUGUGCGCUAUUACCUGGAGGACUGAACGCAAUAGAGAGCGGCGGAUUAGCUGCGUAGAGCGGUUAAAACGCCACUUCCGCAUUUCUACGCGCACGCGUGUUGCGGCCGGCAGAACUAAGGAACGGACAGCGGCAGUUCCACGCUGUGACCACAAGGUGGCAGCAGAGACCGCGGAAAGAAAACAGACGGGACGGGGAGGAAUCGCGGCGCUGCCCCGGGCGCUUCCCUUUAGGUACUGAAAGGCUGUUACCAGGCCACCUCAGAUCUUUCACUCCUCCAAAUGGAACGGCCCCAGCUCUAUCAGCCUGACUACGUAAGAGAGGUGUUCCCUUGGAUCAUUUUUUGUGGCCCUUCUCUGGAUGUGCUCCAACAGCUCUAUGUCUCUCCUGCACUGAGGACUCCACAUCUGGAUGCAGUGCUCCAGGUGAGGCCUCACCAGCGCAGAGUGGAGGGUCAGGAUCACCUGCUGAUGACGCAUCUUUGGAUGCAGCACAGGAUCAGAAAAAAGAGGAGCACUUGGCAACUUGUCCAGACUGAGUGGUGCAGGGAAGACUGCUGCAUUUCUUUCUCUUCUGGUCCAGAAAUUCUUUUUCUUAACUUCAAAAGAAAAGGGAAAAAGAGCCUGACAUAAUGUAGACACAAUAUGGUCUUACAUCACAGUUAGAAGCAGGAGAGCUUUUGUGGCACAAAGCUCGGGGCUGGAGAAAUUAAGGUUGCCUCUAAGAUGGUGCUUUCAAACAACGUGAAUUAUUGGGCAUGAGACAUGCAAGGCAAGGGUAAGUGCACAAUAUCAGCGCUUCAUGUAGAGCACAUCACACAGCUGGAGGCACAGUGCAGAAGAAUCAGACAGCACCUGAGAGGAAACAGUUCAGGAAAGAAAACCUUACCCUGUGAACACAGCCACAAGCUGCAUUUCCAGUCAAGAUUGGAGCUCAAGAGGUCAGCACAACAGAUAUAACACGAGGUACAACUGGAAGAUGUGUCUCCACACCGAGAAAAAACAACUCACCAACCAAGAGCCAGGUCUUGCUAAUUCAGAUGAUCUGAGCAUGUGGGAGGGGGCCGGACAUCAGACCACAAGUGUCCAUUUCCACUGCAGCUCCAUCUAGAGAAGAGCACCAAUCAGCAGGUGAGAAUGAAUUCAUUCACAGGCUGCACAAUGAGUCUGUUCUUUAGACAGAGAAGCCCACAUUGAUUCCCCCCCAAAAAGGGGAACGGCAGGAGCUAAUACGGACCAAAGAGGUUCUUGUUCCUACGCCUCAUCCUCUUACCCCAAGUCCUGGAUGAUGCCCAUGGGCUUCAAGUCAGGUCUCAAAUCCAUUGGACUCCCAUAACAACUCUAUCAAAAACGUUGUCAACUUUGUGACACUCACAUACGGUACAAAGCAAGGAGAGGCUCUUUUGUUAAAUCUUUCAAUAGAGAAAAGAGUUGAUAUCCACUUAUCCCGACAACAGAAACACGGUACCAGCUUUCCAAGGCCACCUGCCUACAGUAGGAGGACAACGCACACGUAAAGGAGCACGCACAUCCCAUCCGGCAUAACUCGAGCCCACAACCCACCUUCAGAUCUCUGUGGAUUUCCCUUGUUUUACACCGAUGCAGCCUCGAUGCAGCUUCAUGGGUGUCACACAAGGCUUGCAGGACCUCUUUCUCUGCAAACCCCACCCGCAGGCCUUGCUCCAUGAGGAUUGCCACCUGCCCUCCUGAGCAAAAACAAGCACUAAGAACGAGAGCAAAGCACACUGGAUUCGCCCUGGCCUGGCCCAAACCCCAGUCCUACCACACAGACCCUGGGAUGCAGAUUGCUCCACAAACCCCGGAUGGACACCACUAAACAAGAAGUUGAUCGGAUACAGUCCCAAGCAAGCAACAAGCCUCCCCAGAAAGCUCUUUGCCAUCAGCUCCAUCAUCGCCUUUCCUUUCCUCCACACCUCAAUCCCAAAGUGGUUUCCACGUCUGCCAGCACGUGUUACCUCCCACCUGCUUGUCGCACAGUGCUUCAACAGCACCAAAUUUGCUUCCAGGGCCCUCCUUCACCUCACUGUGCUAACACUCAUGAUUCAAAUUACACAGAAAUCCUAGCAGAAGUUCUCAGUGAGAACUGCACCUAACAUUCCUCCUUCUACAAGCAAACAGGCCCAACACGUGGUCAUGAAAAUGCUUUCAUCAAAAAGAAGCAGAGAUGGCACGGCAGGACAGACGUACUCGGUGUGCACGUUUGAAGCCAUUUGAGAACCUAGUCGUUCUUGCUGCAGGACCCCUGACUUCUGUUAAAAGCUGAACGGUCCCCAGAGCACCUGUUUCCAUCAGCUGCCACCAUCCAAAGCAGCCAGCCUUCUUACAGUCACCUGGCCCAAACAUCCCUUUUUCUCUACACGUGAUUCCUGCAAGAGAGACAGGAGCUAGACAUGCACACCAUCCUUCCAACACCCCAUCCCAGCAGCAAGGGAUCACAGCGCUGGCACAGCUGAAACAAAAAGGGUGUGCGAGUUUCCUGUUAGAACUCAGUGUGAACAAAUCUACCACUGAGCAACACCCUGAGCCCCCACUCACCUCAGCAGAGGUCAGCCUGCACCCCAGCCUUCCGCCUAUCCAUGUGCACACGCACACACGUGCAAUGCUCUGCCCCUUCUGCACACCCACGUGCACGCACCACAUCUUGUGCCCUCCUUUGCAUUCACAGACAUGUGCAAACCACCCCUGGGAACACCUACGUGCCAACAAAUACCACAAAACAUCCCUUUGUCUGCACCUGUGUGCAACCCAACUCCUCACACACCCCUGUGCAAGCACACAAUUGUGCCACCGCGUCCAUGCACUAUCCAUGUGCUCACACACACUCACGCAACCACAUCCCUUAGUGCAGCCCUGUGCGCACACACAGACACAUGUGCAGCCCCUUUCUUUCACUCCCAAAGUGCACGCACACACCGGUACCACAAUGUCCUUGUGCAGCUCCAACACUCUGCACACCCCUGUGCACGUACAUAUAUGUGCAUGCUCGUCCUUGCACACAUACCCACAGACCUACACACACCUGAGCAACACCACUGGUUUGUACACUCAUGGACACAAAUAUGUGCAACAGCACCUGUGCACAAAUACACACACACAAACUCAUGGAACCCCACUGCUUUGCACAAUCCUGUGCACACUCACGUGUGUCAUGCACUGAUUUCCCAGCCAGUCCUCGUGGGGUCUCUUACUUAGGACGGGAGUGCAGGGGAGCAGCCAGAAGCUGUUUGCAUUCCCUGCUGUCUGCUGGGCAGCUUUGCUGGAGAUGCUUGGGUUGCUUUGUUUUUCCUUGGGAGGUGG